rnacentral:rRNA from 1 species
GAUGAACGCUGGCGGCGUGCCUAAUACAUGCAAGUCGAGCGAAUGGAUUAAGAGCUUGCUCUUAUGAAGUUAGCGGCGGACGGGUGAGUAACACGUGGGUAACCUGCCCAUAAGACUGGGAUAACUCCGGGAAACCGGGGCUAAUACCGGAUAACAUUUUGAACCGCAUGGUUCGAAAUUGAAAGGCGGCUUCGGCUGUCACUUAUGUAUGGACCCGCGUCGCAUUAGCUAGUUGGUGAGGUAACGGCCCACCAAGGCAACGAUGCGUAGCCGACCUGAGAGGGUGACCGGCCACACUGGGACUGAGACACGGCCCAGGCUCCUACGGGAGGCAGCAGUAGGGAAUCUUCCGCAAUGGACGAAAGUCUGACGGAGCAACGCCGCGUGAGUGAUGAAGGCUUUCGGGUCGUAAAACUCUGUUGUUAGGGAAGAACAAGUGCUAGUUGAAUAAGCUGGCACCUUGACGGUACCUAACCAGAAAGCCACGGCUAACUACGUGCCAGCCGCCGCAGUAA